CACACCCAAUCGCAGAUCCGCUUUAUUGUUUAUUUCGGCCCUCCCCAUACACACACACACACACUCGCAUAGAAGCACCAACACACGCGGUAUACUGGAAAUAGCGCUGACUUAAUCAAUGGGAAACGAAGAUCACGCCUGGGGCUGUCCUGCGUUGGUUACCUAAGUUCUGGAUGCUUACCCGCUUCCGCUUCUUCAGGCAAAAUCCGCUCCAUGGCUCACUAGAUGACACUAGGAAAAGUUUGUUUUAUGUCCGGUUUUGCACAUUUUACUGGCAUCGUGCACAAGCACUGCAAGCACGCACACACGCUGAGUGGGGAAAUCAAAAUGGUGGAGGCAGCACGGCUUGUCUCUUAGUUGGGUCCAGUUAUGUUAUGGUUUUACGUUUUGUUUUCAUUUCUUUGGCAGGAACAGGAAUAUUGGCGCGAAUCGGUGCUGGAACAAUUAGCUAUUCACAUCAAGAUAUAUAUGUGUUUCUUAUUUUGUUGUGCUCUACCGACGAAUGAGGGAAGAGACGGAGAAAAAUUGCUAUGGCAAUGCUGUAGGGGGUGCAUGCAAGCAUGGUCACCUUUAAGUUAUCGAUAGCUAGGCACGGUGAAUCAUUUAUUAUUUCGAGCUCGAUUAAUAUCUAAUUUAAUUUUUGUAAUUGU
ensembl:ncRNA asRNA:CR45016 antisense RNA:CR45016